UUUUUAAGUUAGUAAUGAUCUCUCCUCAGUUGUAUCUCACCAGCUAUGAUCACCACGGUGCAAACCCACCAUUAUAAUUUGGUCAGACCUCCUCUGCAUCCCUUCACUGAAUAAAGUGUCCACCUUUCGCUCUUCCUUUUUGACGGCCCACACAAGUUGUCUGAAACCUGGGUAUGCUUCCUGCUCCCACUCCAUCUUCUCUUAACUGCUUCAUCUGAAUGCAUUUAAUGACUGCGAGCAGGCUUACAACAUGGCCGUCGUCGUCAAGAAACAUCUUCAGACACAUAAUGGAUUCCAGACCGCAUAUUUUUAAAUGCAGAAGCCUCAGAGUAAGAGCUACCAAUUUUUCAGCGUCUACCGAGGGCCAAGCGUAUGCCAAGCACCACACUUACCUUCUUCUUAAUCUUGGCAACAGUCCUGCAGUGAUAAAGACUCCUGGUUGCCCUCCCAACACACAGUGCAGCCACUAUGCAGAUAAAGGGGCCAAGUAACACAGCUGGCCAAUCAGAUCGACGAGGAAAUUAUUAAGUGUGGUGCCAGAAAAUCUCUUUUCAAAGCAAGUCCAGAUCAGCUGAUGUGCUUUCUUUUCUUCUUCCAUUUCUUCUGCCAAUGCAAACCUACAAUAUUUGAGGUGAAACAGCUAACUGCCAGGUAACAAGAAUGCAUUAAGAUGGGCUGGACAAGAAAAUAGAGAACGCCUCACGUUCUUAAUGACGUUCUAAAACUUAGAGUGGACAAAUGAGGCCCGCCUGGACUGUCUUCCACUGGUAUAUGUGAUAAAAAUAACCCUUGUUUUUCAGGUUUCUUAUUUAUGGAUGAAUGCAAUUCUCAACCAAUUCACCUGCAAAGAAAACAUUGACCUUUCCGUGUCUGAGAGGAGGCAACCAAGCUGGAGCAAAUUCUUCCCUUGUAAGAGAUUUUGUUGAUGGGUCUCCGUGUUGUUUUCCUCUGUGCCCGAGUCUCCACCUUGGUUUCACGCCAGGUGUCCCGGUUCUUCAUCUUCGCAGGGAGUGGAGCUCCGUCCCCAAGCACCAAUUCCCACCGAGGGGUCAACGAUAACUCCUUCCGGACUUUCCCGGAAUUAUGCCUCUGAAAUCAGAUCCAGUGUUCCAAAAAUAAUGGCAUUUCUUAGAACCCGUGGUGUCUCAGAAUUGGUGAAAUAUGGACUGAUCUUGAAUCCUCUGAGCCAUCAACUGUUACUGUGAAAUACUGCUUGUUGGAAAGGUUUAAUUUCCUCUUCAGAAGUAGUCCCUUAGUAGCAUUUUUUCCCUUGAGGAUUGAUUAGGAUGACCAAAAUUAAAUCUCUUUAUAUAUGUAAUAUCCAAAUACAUUCUGCUGUCUAGUUUCACAUCUCAA